UCUGAUUCAUGACAUGCCUAGUAUCCAAGUGUUUGGAGAGAAAAGUGAAACGAGCAAGCCUGUCGAUGGUGAUGAUGAAGAUGGCAAUGAAGAUGGGGACGGAGAAGAGGACGGUGCUGUCGGGGAGGGUGACGAAGAACCAUCUGAGGAUGACGGGGAGGGAUACGAGAACCCCAAUAAUAACAGUGGCAAGAAAGCCCCUGGCGACGGUGCUGGUGGUGAAGAAAACGGAGAGGAUGAUGAUGAAGAGGCCGAGGAUCCAGAGGACGGGGAUGACGACGACGAUGAUGAAGAAGAUGAGGAUGACGAUGAUGGUGGAGAGGACGAGGACGAGGGUGUGGAAGACGACGAGGAGAACGAGGAUGAAGAGGAAGACGACGAGGAAGAGGAGCUUCAACCUCCUAAGAAGAGGAAGAAGUGAGCGUGGUCGAAGUCGGGCUCGGUUUUAGUUGUAGCUUCUCUUGCUCUUUCGCAGUUCAGUCCGUUCGACCUCGCCGUGUGCCCUAACCCUGGUUUCAUUUCAGGAUUCAUAACGACAGACCGUUGUGGUGUUGGCCUAUGUAGGAGUACUAUUUCCUAAUGCAUCAGAGAGAACUUUGUCAAAUUUUGAUUUGUCUCUCUCAGUUAUUUAAGCUAACAAACUCUAAACUAUGCUGCUUCAAUUUGGUAUCAGAUUUUAACAAUGUAGUCAAAUGCAGCUCACUUUUCCCUCCUUGUUUGGGUCCAUAUGCAUGCAUGUCUCUUAUCUAAACUUUUAUGUGGUUGAAAUCUGGUGCUUGUGGCAACAGGUGAAACACAGCUUGAAGAUGAGCUCAAACAUGGUAUGUGGUGUAGAAUUCAAUCAUCAUACAGGCCAAGACAAUCAUGUUUCUGCAAUUCUUUGAAUCCUGUAAAGAACUUUGUGUUUCUUCUAUCAACAGAUAAAUUACUGGAGACUAUACAGUAUUUGAUCAGUAAAAUUAUCUGGACUGGACUGGACUGAAUUGAUCUGUUCCUAUUUUCUUCUGAUCUUGGCAAGUAUUUACACUGAAACUACAGUUGAGGUUUUCUUUUCUCAUUUAGCUUGUUCUGAGUCUCAAGCCUGAGAUGCUCAUCUCUUGAAUUCCUCACUCAAAUGCCUUCUUUGAGGUAUUCUCCUGAUGCCUAAACUCACUUUCUUGACUCAUGUUCAUAGUUUAAUGAGAUCCUGUAGCAGAUAAGUAUGAAGAUACUGAAUCAAAGACAAACAUGCAUAGUGAUUUAUGUGUGGUUAAAGCAAAAUCAAUUAUAGUAAAGUUGGAGAAUUGAUACCUCCCUUGCUUUAUAAAUGUGACACCACUACUAAUGGACACUCGCUAUUAGAUUCUUUGAAUGAAAUAGCUCAAACACUCUUCGUACUAUAAAGAUAAUUAGGUUCAUUAAGCUCUCAGAGGAGGAUCAAUGUAUAUAUUAUGAAGAAGCUUGAUCAUGUAGACAGCAAUAAUUCUGCAUAAAUGUUCCUUGACUUGAGGAGAGAUCUUACACUAGAAAGUCCACCUUCCUCUCUCACAACAAAAUCCCCUAUUUCUCCAUGAACAUUCCUUGACUUGAGAGAGAGAGAGAGAGAGAGAGAGACCACAUGCCCAUGACCAUGUGAACAUUCAAUGUCUCGUAUGAAGUUUACUCAUUCAAAACCAGCCCUAAUGAGCCCAACAUCAAACAUGUCCAUGUUGAUGUGGUUGGGUGGUUUGAUAUAAUAAAUCAGAAAAAAAAUGCUCUAUCUAAAUUGAUGAACCAUCUCAAAUCCAAUAAUUUCUUAGAUAGGUUUGAUCUAAUUUGUUACUAAGACCUAGACAUGAACACAAAUUUGAUUAUAGAAUAGUAAGAUAUACAUAGUGCCCAUAUUCUAUCAUGC
rnacentral:lncRNA from 1 species